rnacentral:rRNA from 1 species
CCCUUAGAUGUUCUGGGCCGCACGCGCGCUACACUGACGAAUGCAACGAGCUUAUAACCUUGGCCGAAAGGUCUGGGUAAUCUCCAAAUUUCGUCGUGAUGGGGAUAGAUUAUUGCAAUUAUUAAUCUUCAACGAGGAAUGCCUAGUAAGCGCAAGUCAUCAGCUUGCGUUGAUUACGUCCCUGCCCUUUGUACACACCGACCGUCGCUCCUACCGAUUGAAUGGUCCGGUGAAGCGUUCGGACCGUGGCCUUUGGACGGUUCGCCGUCUGUUGGCUGCGGGAAGUUCGUUAAACCUUAUCAUUUAGAGGAAGGAGAAGUCGUAACA